UAGCACUUCAAACCUAUUCUUCCAC
rnacentral:piRNA from 1 species